AACGAACGCUGGCGGCAUGCCUAACACAUGCAAGUCGAACGAGACCUUCGGGUCUAGCGGCGCACGGGUGCGUAACGCGUGGGAACCUGCCCUUAGGUUCGGAAUAACUCCCCGAAAGGGGUGCUAAUACCGGAUAAUGUCUUCGGACCAAAGAUUUAUCGCCUUUGGAUGGGCCCGCGUUGGAUUAGCUAGCUGGUAGGGUAAAAGCCUACCAAGGCGACGAUCCAUAGCUGGUCUGAGAGGAUGAUCAGCAACACUGGGACUGAGACACGGCCCAGACUCCUACGAAAGGAAGAAGGUGGGAAUAUUGAACGCUGGGCGAGAGCUUGAGCCAGCAAUGCCGCGUAAGUGAUGAAGGCCUUAGGAUUGUAAAGCUCUUUUACACGGGAUGAUAAUGACGGUACCGGGAGAAUAAGCUCCGGCUAACUCCGUG
rnacentral:rRNA from 1 species